rnacentral:sRNA from 1 species
GGAACCCCACCAGAGUCACAGCCAGGGAGGGCAGCGGGGCGCACCAGGCCGAAGGCUCACACCACAGGGAGGGCAGCUAGGACAUGGGGGGAAGCGCCUUAAACCAGGGAGUCCUGGAAGGGGACGACGCCCCCGGCCAGGUGAGGGCCCGGACGCUUCGGGAGCGUCGACGCUAAAGGGGUGGCCGGGUGGGUCUGCGGCUCUGAGGCCUGGCUUUCAUUCUCCCCCAGUCCCUGUACGAGCGGUUAAGUCAGAGGAUGCUGGACAUCUCGGGGGACCGGGGCGUGCUGAAGGACGUCAUCCGAGAAGGAGGUGGAGACCUAGUGGCGCCUGAUGCUUCGGUGCUAGUGAAAUACUCGGGAUACUUGGAACACAUGGACAGACCCUUCGAUUCUAAUUACUUUAGGAAAACUCCUCGGCUAAUGAAACUUGGAGAGGGUAGGUUCAGAGUGGGAGCUGGAGAAGGAAUUGUUUAGGGGCGAGAUGAGGCACGAUGCCUCAGGCUGGGAAGACUGCUCAGAGCGCAGGUUCUUUGAGUUGGCUUUGCUGAGGCUGGGUUUUGGUAACACAGCCAU